GGGCCUGUAGCUCAGCCAGGUAGAGCAGCCGGCUUUUAACCGGCAAGUCGCGGGUUCGAACCCUGCCGGGCCCG
rnacentral:tRNA from 1 species